rnacentral:rRNA from 1 species
GGGGGUGGGAAAACUGAGCGAAUGCGACUCUCUGGUCUGUAACUGACGCUGAGGAGCGAAAGCGUGGGGAGCGAACAGGAUUAGAUACCCUGGUAGUCCACGCCGUAAACGAUGAGUGCUAAGUGUUAGGGGGUUUCCGCCCCUUAGUGCUGCUGCUAACGCAUUAAGCACUCCGCCUGGGGAGUACGGUCGCAAGACUGAAACUCAAAGGAAUUGACGGGGGCCCGCACAAGCGGUGGAGCAUGUGGUUUAAUUCGAAGCAACGCGAAGAACCUUACCAGGUCUUGACAUCCUCUGACAACCCUAGAGAUAGGGCUUUCCCUUCGGGGACAGAGUGACAGGUGGUGCAUGGUUGUCGUCAGCUCGUGUCGUGAGAUGUUGGGUUAAGUCCCGCAACGAGCGCAACCCUUGAUCUUAGUUGCCAGCAUUCAGUUGGGCACUCUAAGGUGACUGCCGGUGACAAACCGGAGGAAGGUGGGGAUGACGUCAAAUCAUCAUGCCCCUUAUGACCUGGGCUACACACGUGCUACAAUGGACAGAACAAAGGGCUGCAAGACCGCAAGGUUUUAGCCAAUCCCAUAAAUCUGUUUCUCAGUUCGGAUCGCAGUCUGCAACUCGACUGCGUGAAGCUGGAAUCGCUAGUAAAUCGCGGAUCAGCAUGCCGCGGUGAAAUACGUUCCCCGGGCCCUUGUACACACCGCCCCGUCACACCACGAGAGUUUGCAACACCCGAAGUCGGUGAGGUUACCUUUUAUGGAUCCAGCCGCCAAAGUGGGGGCAGAUGAUUGGGGUGAAUUCGUAACAAGGUAACCCAAU